rnacentral:rRNA from 1 species
CCCUUAGAUGUUCUGGGCCGCACGCGCGCUACACUGAUGCACUCAACGAGUCUCCACCUUGACCGAAAGGUCCGGGAAACCUUCGAACUUGCAUCGUGAUGGGGAUAGAUUAUUGCAAUUAUUAAUCUUCAACGAGGAAUGCCUAGUAAGCGCAAGUCAUCAGCUUGCGUUGAUUACGUCCCUGCCCUUUGUACACACCGCCCGUCGCUCCUACCGAUUGAAUGGUCCGGUGAAGCGUUCGGACCGUGGCCUUUGGACGGUUCGCCGUCUGUUGGCUGCGGGAAGUUCGUUAAACCUUAUCAUUUAGAGGAAGGAGAAGUCGUAACA